rnacentral:rRNA from 1 species
UACGGAGGGUGCGAGCGUUGUCCGGAAUCACUGGGCGUAAAGCGCACGUAGGCGGAUUGCUAAGUCAGGGGUGAAAUCCUGGAGCUCAACUCCAGAACUGCCUUUGAUACUGGCGAUCUCGAGUCCGGGAGAGGUGAGUGGAUCUGCGAGUGUAGAGGUGAAAUUCGUAGAUAUUCGCAAGAACACCAGUGGCGAAGGCGGCUCACUGGCCCGGUACUGACGCUGAGGUGCGAAAGCGUGGGGAGCAAACAGG